AUACGUAGGGGGCGAGCGUUGUCCGGAAUGAUUGGGCGUAAAGGGCGCGUAGGCGGCCUGGUAAGUCUGAAGUGAAAGUCCCGCUUUCAAGGUGGGAAUUGCUUUGGAUACUGCUGGGCUUGAGUGCAGGAGAGGAAAGCGGAAUUCCCGGUGUAGCGGUGAAAUGCGUAGAGAUCGGGAGGAACACCAGUGGCGAAGGCGGCUUUCUGGACUGGAACUGACGCUGAGGCGCGAAAGCGUGGGGAGCAAACAGGAUUAGAUACCCUGGUAGUCCACACUGUAAACGAUGAAUGCUAGGUGUAGGGGGUAUCGACCCCUUCUGUGCCGCAGUUAACACAAUAAGCAUUCCGCCUGGGGAGUCCGGCCGCAAGGUUGAAACUCAAAUGAAUUGGCGGGG
rnacentral:rRNA from 1 species